AUGCACGCUGGCGGCGUGCCUCAUCCCUGCAAGUCGCGCGAACGGACGAGAAGCUUGCUUCUCUGAUGUUAGCGGCGGACGGGUGAAUAACACGUGGAUAACCUACCUAUAAGACUGGGAUAACUUCGGGAAACCGUAGCUAAUACCGGAUAAUAUUUUGAACCGCAUGGUUCAAAAGUGAAAGACGGUCUUGCUGUCACUUAUAGAUGGAUCCGCGCUGCAUUAGCUAGUUGGUAAGGUAACGGCUUACCAAGGCAACGAUGCAUAGCCGACCUGAGAGGGUGAUCGGCCACACUGGAACUGAGACACGGUCCAGACUCCUACGGGAGGCAGCAGUAGGGAAUCUUCCGCAAUGGGCGAAAGCCUGACGGAGCAACGCCGCGUGAGUGAUGAAGGUCUUCGGAUCGUAAAACUCUGUUAUUAGGGAAGAACAUAUGUGUAAGUAACUGUGCACAUCUUGACGGUACCUAAUCAGAAAGCCACGGCUAACUACGUG
rnacentral:rRNA from 1 species